GACGAACGCUGGCGGCGUGCUUAACACAUGCAAGUCGAACGGAGAAUUUUAUUUCGGUGAAGGUCUUAGUGGCGAACGGGUGAGUAACGCGUAGACAACCUACCUCUCAGAUGGGGACAACAUCGCGAAAGCGGUGCUAAUACCGAAUGAUGUAACUUUUCUGCAUGGAGAAGUUACCAAAGGCGGCCUCUAUUUAUAAGCUGUCAAUGAGAGAUGGCUCUGCGUCUGAUUAGCUGGUUGGCGGGGUAAUGGCCCACCAAGGCGACUAUCAGUAGCCGGUCUCAGAGGAUGAACGGCCACAUUGGGACUGAGACAUGGCCCAAACUCCUACGGGAGGCAGCAGUGGGGAAUCUUCCGCAAUGGACGAAAGUCUGACGGAGCAACGCCGCGUGAGUGAAGAAGGUUUUCGGAUCGUAAAGCUCUGUUGUUUGAGACGAACGUGCAAUUUUUGAAUAAGGAAUUGUAAUGGCGGUAUUAAACGAGAAAGCCACGGCUAACUACGUGCCAGCCGCCGCGGUAA
rnacentral:rRNA from 1 species